AUACAUAGGCUCCAAGCGUUGUUCGGAAUUACUGGGCGUAAAGCGAGUGUAGGCGGCCUGUCAAGUCGAUUGUGAAAUCUCCCGGCUCAACUGGGAGGGUGCGGUCGAAACUGGCAGGCUAGAGUUCGGGAGAGGAGAGUGGAAUUCCUGGUGUAGCGGUGAAAUGCGUAGAUAUCAGGAGGAACACCGGAGGUGAAGACGGCUCUCUGGACCGAUACUGACGCUGAGACUCGAAAGCGUGGGGAGCAAACAGGAUUAGAAACCCCAGUAGUCC
rnacentral:rRNA from 1 species